GGGUAGGGACCUGCGGAAGGACAGUUCCGACUGGUGGAGGCCGUGGGCUGUCGCUGACCCCCUUCUGAAGGGGGUCGUGCACGCCGUCGGUGUCGUCCUCACACAACCAAAUCCACCUCACCCUUUUGUGCAUCGCCGCGUGGGCCCCGAAAGGGGCCUGCGCCUUUUACACACGCAUGAUUCAGUGUAGAAUGUCCUUUGCAAUUGUAUGCAAUCAAUACAACUUUCAACAACGGAUCUCUUGGCUCUCGCAUCGAUGAAGAACGCAGCGAAAUGCGAUACGUAAUGUGAAUUGCAGAAUUCAGUGAAUCAUCGAAUCUUUGAACGCACCUUGCGCCCCUUGGCAUUCCGAGGGGCACACCCGUUUGAGUGUCGUGAAAUCCUCAACCCUUCUUUGUUUCAUUUUGAUUCGGAGAAAGGCUUGGAAUUUGGAGGCUUUUGCUGGCCUCUCUUGAAGCCAGCUCCUCUUAAAUGCAUUAGCAGGGUCUCCUCGGCCGGAUCCCUCGACGUGAUAAGCCUUUUACGUCUCAAAGGGUUUUCCGGCUCUGCCCGCUUCCAAUCGUCUCGUCGAGACAAACCUUUUUGAACCCUUGACCUCAAAUCGGGUGAGACUACCCGCUGAACUUAAGCAUAUCAAUAAGCGGAGGAAAAGAAACUAACAAGGAUUCCCCUAGUAACUGCGAGUGAAGCGGGAAAAGCUCAAAUUUAAAAUCUGGCGGUCUUUGGCCGUUCGAGUUGUAAUUUAGAGAAGCGUCUUCCGCGCUGGACCGUGAAA
rnacentral:sRNA from 1 species